rnacentral:antisense_RNA from 1 species
UUCUAUGGCGGCCCGGGCGAGGAGGGCUUCGGCCCUGCCGGUUCCUAUGUGCCGGUCUUCCAACCUCGUUCGGUGCCGCCACCCCG